GGGGAAUAUUGGACAAUGGGGGCAACCCUGAUCCAGCAAUGCCGCGUGUGUGAAGAAGGUCUUCGGAUUGUAAAGCACUUUCGACGGGGACGAUGAUGACGGUACCCGUAGAAGAAGCCCCGGCUAACUUCGUGUCAGCAGCCGCGGUAAUACGAAGGGGGCUAGCGUUGCUCGGAAUGACUGGGCGUAAAGGGCGUGUAGGCGGUUUACACAGUCAGAUGUAAUCCGGGCAAUUCCCAAG
rnacentral:rRNA from 1 species